ACGAACGCUGGCGGCGUGCUUAACACAUGCCAGUCGAACGGAAAGGCCCUGCUUUUGUGGGGUGCUUGAGUGGCGAACGGGUGAGUAACACGUGAGUAACCUGCCCUUGACUUUGGGAUAACUUCAGGAAACUGGGGCUAAUACCGGAUAGGAGCUCCUGCUGCAUGGUGGGGGUUGGAAAGUUUCGGCGGUUGGGGAUGGACUCGCGGCUUAUCAGCUUGUUGGUGGGGUAGUGGCUUACCAAGGCUUUGACGGGUAGCCGGCCUGAGAGGGUGACCGGCCACAUUGGGACUGAGAUACGGCCCAGACUCCUACGGGAGGCAGCAGUGGGGAAUAUUGCACAAUGGGCGGAAGCCUGAUGCAGCAACGCCGCGUGCGGGAUGACGGCCUUCGGGUUGUAAACCGCUUUCGCCUGUGACGAAGCGUGAGUGACGGUAAUGGGUAAAGAAGCACCGGCUAACUACGUG
rnacentral:rRNA from 1 species